rnacentral:rRNA from 1 species
UACGAAGGGUGCAAGCGUUAUUCGGAAUUACUGGGCGUAAAGCGUGCGUAGGCGGUUUGUUAAGUCUGAUGUGAAAGCUCUGGGCUCAACCUGGGAACGGCAUUGGAAACUGGCUUACUAGAGUGCGGUAGAGGGGUGUGGAAUUCCCGGUGUAGCAGUGAAAUGCGUAGAUAUCGGGAGGAACAUCUGUGGCGAAGGCGACACCCUGGACCAGCACUGACACUGAGGCACGAAAGCGUGGGGAGCAAACAGG